rnacentral:rRNA from 1 species
CAGUAGCCACGGUAAUACGAAGGGGGCUAGCGUUGUUCGGAUUUACUGGGCGUAAAGCGCACGUAGGCGGACUUUUAAGUCAGGGGUGAAAUCCCGGGGCUCAACCCCGGAACUGCCUUUGAUACUGGAAGUCUUGAGUAUGGUAGAGGUGAGUGGAAUUCCGAGUGUAGAGGUGAAAUUCGUAGAUAUUCGGAGGAACACCAGUGGCGAAGGCGGCUCACUGGACCAUUACUGACGCUGAGGUGCGAAAGCGUGGGGAGCAAACAGGAUUAGAUACCCCAGUAGUCCCUGUCUCUUAUAC